rnacentral:rRNA from 1 species
UGAGGAAUCUUCCACAAUGGGCGAAAGCCUGAUGGAGCAACGCCGCGUGCAGGAUGAAGGCCUUCGGGUCGUAAACUGCUUUUAUUUGUGAUGAAUAUGACAGUAGCAAAUGAAUAAGGGUCGGCUAACUACGUGCCAGCAGCCGCGGUCAUACGUAGGACCCAAGCGUUAUCCGGAGUGACUGGGCGUAAAGAGUUGCGUAGGCGGUUAGUAAAGCGAAUAGUGAAAUCUGGUGGCUCAACCACACAGGCUAUUAUUCGAACUUGCUAACUCGAGAAUGGUAGAGGUAACUGGAAUUUCUUGUGUAGGAGUGAAAUCCGUAGAUAUAAGAAGGAACACCAAUGGCGUAGGCAGGUUACUGGGCCAUUUCUGACGCUAAGGCACGAAAGCGUGGGGAGCGAACC